UCCAAAAAAUUACUCACUUAUUCUAUUGUUUUGUUUUGUAGGGGUAGGUUUUGUAGACUUUCAGAUAAAUUCUAUUCCGAAAACUGUGACAACUGGCCAAAAGCUUGCUAUCGAAGCGACCUACAAAUAUUGUUGUCGUGGUUCAUACUGCCCUGGAUGUCCAGUUGAAGUCUAUUUCACGUUUGCUGAACAGAAACGUUUGGUUCACACCGGGUUAAAACUGGACUGCCAAGAACACAGCUUCAACACCACUGUCGACACUGUGCUUCAGGAGGGAAUCUAUGCAAUAAACGUCUCAUAUGAGCCGGAAGAGCCAGUGUCGUAUUUACCCCAGAUUAAAAGGCAAAUUGGUGAAGUUAAUGUCAAAGGUGCGUUACGUAUCUGAAAAAGCCCUAGCCAUGGUAAAAAGAUUAUAUUUAGCAAGUAUCUGGCAACAUUAUCACCGUCCCCGUUUUGGUUCGUGCAUGUCACAUGCAUAGUAAGAUAAGAUAAGAUAAGAACUUUAUUAACGUGUCGAAGUCGCUAGCAUACAAUGUAUAUAAUGUGGAAUCGAGUGUUUACUUGUUUACACAGCCGUCGCAAUCGAUGCACUUCAAUUACAUUGCUCAGAAUUCACUAAAGCUCACUGAAGCCAUGAUAAAAGGAAAAGACCCAAAUGUUAGGCUACAAAUUUUGCUGAGGUGUCAUUUUAUACCAAAAAUAUACAGCUGUUUUCGCUUUCGGAACGAAAUUGUUUCGGUUAAAUAUCUUUCCGUGGAUUUUGCUGCCUUUUUUCC